rnacentral:lncRNA from 1 species
CUGAAGUCCACACCUUGGCUGAGCAAGGCUCCAUGAAGAGGCCUUGCUUGGACUUGGAACUGCCUUGGAGGACCUUGGAGGCUGGCCUUCAUCAGACAGCAAAAUCAACCCAUGGGUGACACAUGGAAGACUUCCCCAGUCUCCUGCAGAACAGGAUUUCGCCCGUCAUGACCACAGGAGUGGGGACGGGAAGAACAGAGUGAAGGAAGAAAGACCAAGACAGAGAUGGGACAUUAGUUCUCUGACGAGGGAUUGAACUCACUCUCCCGGCAUUGGAAGCAUGGAGUUUUAACCACUGGACUGCCUGGCAAGUCCCCAAGAAAGAGAAACAGAAGCAUAAUACUUGUUUUUUAAAAUAAUGACGCCCCCUCCGAAUAAUAAUAAUGAAACUCAUUUAUAUUUAAGAAUAAAUGUCAUAAGCUAAAUAAUCAUUAUUCAGACACAUCCUAACUAAUAAUGUAUAUCAGCUUUUGUAGUUACGCUGUAUUCAGUGAAUAAUUAAUAA